UCCGGUACAGUAGGUGGCGAUAUGCACCUAAAACGUUGGUUGCGAGACGCCAAUAAAAAAAAAAAGAUCAGCAGCAGACGGUCAGUGUGACGUCAGAAGGUUAGCAUCAGUACCUCAGCUAGCUUAGCCGGUACCGUUACCAUGGCAACGCCUUCUCUUCAAAGCGGGGUUUCCGUUAAAAUGCGCAUUUUAUCCGCAGCCGAAUGACAGUGGCGGGUUGUAUUAGAGGAACAGUUGAUUAGCUUUGAGUUUAACGGAGGACCUCAGAGUUUCUCCUCCAUCAUCCACCUUCUGUUGGACACUACAGGCUGGUCCUGGUUGGUACUUUGGUUCUUCUCCUACUGAUUGUUAGUCUUCUCAACCAGGAAUAAAAGAGUCUGAUUUCUGUCAGCCACCCAGCAGCGGACCCACUUCUACAGACAUGGAGCAGUACAGCAUCCUGGGUCGGAUCGGAGAAGGAGCUCAUGGCAUAGUCUUUAAGGCCAAACACAUCGAGACCGGAGAGACCGUGGCUCUGAAGAAAGUGGCUCUGAGGAAGCUGGAGGAGGGCAUCCCGAACCAGGCUCUGAGGGAGAUCAAGGCCCUGCAGGAGAUUGAGGACAACCAGCAUGUAGUAAAGCUGAAAGACUUUUUCCCUCAUGGCACCGGCUUUGUCCUGGUCUUCGACUUCAUGCUGUCCGACCUCUCUGAGGUUAUCAGGAACUACCAGCGACCUCUGACCCCAGCUCAGGUGAAAUGCUACAUGAUGAUGCUGCUGAAGGGUGUAGCGUUCCUGCAUCACAACAACAUCAUGCACCGGGACCUGAAACCCGCCAACCUCCUUAUCAGCCCCUCAGGUCACCUGAAGGUCGCAGACUUUGGUCUGGCCCGGUUGUUCAGUAAUCAGGGUGACAGGCUGUACAGCCACCAGGUAGCAACAAGGUGGUACCGAGCUCCAGAGCUGCUGUAUGGAGCUCGGAAAUACGACGAGGGAGUUGACCUGUGGGCGGUGGGCUGUAUCUUCGGAGAGCUGCUAAACUCUUCUCCUCUGUUUCCUGGAGAAAAUGACAUUGAACAGCUCUGCUGCGUCCUCAGAGUGCUGGGAACGCCAACACAGGACAGCUGGCCUGAAAUCGUCGAGCUGCCAGAUUACAAUAAAAUCACCUUUAAGGAGAAUCCAGCGAUCCCAUUGGAGGAGAUCGUCCCUGACACUUCUUCUCAGGCCAUCGCCCUGCUCUACAAGUUCCUGGUGUACCCAUCCAAGCAGCGCUGCUCUGCCAGACAGGCUCUCAUCCAUCCGUACUUCUUCUCCUCUCCUCUUCCUGUUCACCGCUCGGAGCUGCCCGUGCCUCAAAGAACGGGUUGUCCAUCCCGCCAGCGGCUCCAGGCUCCGACCUCUGACCCCUCUGUAGACCUGCCCAUGCAGGACAGCGUGGUGGACCCCGCGCUGCUGCAGCCAUACACCCCCUGCCUUUAAACCAACUCGACCUGUUGGAUUUGUUGGGGGGUGACAUGAACAGAACUUCUGAACCGAGCUGAACUCAGAUGAAAUGAAAGUCUGGAAACAUUUUAACCUGCAGUUUGGUUUGUUCUUGCAUCAGGAUCAGGCAGCUGCUUUAUGAGUUGUCUAAUGGACGUGUUUCCAUGGAAACCCAGUGGUUGGUGAUCAUGUCCUGAUUGCACCUUCAGGCAGAUGUUUGAAUGGAGAACUUCAGCCAGUCUCAGAGGAAAACAUCCAGAGCCCAUUUUUUUCUGAUUCCAGCAGGGGGUAGCAUCACCCAGAAGCUCCUCCAUCUCCAGAGAACAUUAUCCUGAAACAGUUCAAGGUUCAGACUCUGCAGACUCCAGAACAACGUUCAGUCCAAUAGGAAAGUGGAAACCAGUAUAAGGACCUUAGGCCUGCACUUGUACACUGGUGUUACUGGGAAGGCCAGUAUAGUCUUCACGGUUGCAGGAUGAUGGUUCUGGUUUAAAGUGAACUUUAAAAGGUCACAUUGAUCUGACAAACAUUCCAGUCGUUUUUUUGAUUCCAGGAUUUAAGGUGGAAAAUCAGGCUGCAAGAAAUAAUGGACACAACCUGAGGUCCAACUCAGGUAAAAGACCUUCCCUUUCAUCAGAUUUUUCCACAGCCCGCUGAGUCUCAUGUUCUGACAGUACAGAAUGACCCAGUUUCAUUGUUUAAGACUAGAAACAAUUAGCUCGGGGUUUGUGGGCGGAGCCAGAAACUUCCUCUUCUUCCUCCACCUCUUCAGGCUGCAGUGUCCCUCACCCCUCAGAGGAAACCUCAGAGCCAGAGCAGCUCCUCAGCUUCUCCUGGUCCAGCAUAUCGUUAGUCUUUCCUUUCUGUCUUAUUUGAUGUCUGUUCUUGUUGUUGGAUCAGAGAUCCUCUGUGAUCAGACAGAGCUCUCACUCUGGUUUGUCUCCUCAUAGAAGAACAGAGAUGAUUUCAGAUUUAUUUCCGUCAGCGGGUUGGUCCCCAGCUUCUCCAGCCACUGGGUGUGAAAGAUCAUCAGGGUUCAGCAUGAAGUUUGAUCCCACCCCCUCAGAUCCGCUCGUCCAAUCACAGUGGCUAUCUGGUGAAGCCAGCCUGCAGCUCCUUAGGAGCUCCCACCGAUUGGACGAUGUCAGCUGUCAGUCAGUCAGCUCCUCUUACAGCCCUCCUCC